rnacentral:rRNA from 1 species
UACAGAGGUCUCAAGCGUUGUUCGGAUUCAUUGGGCGUAAAGGGUGCGUAGGUGGCGGGGUAAGUCAGGUGUGAAAUCUCGGGGCUCAACCCCGAAACUGCAUUUGAUACUGCCUUGCUAGAGUACUGGAGAGGAGAUUGGAAUUUACGGUGUAGCAGUGAAAUGCGUAGAUAUCGUAAGGAAGACCAGUGGCGAAGGCGAAUCUCUGGACAGUUACUGACACUGAGGCACGAAGGCCAGGGGAGCAAACGGG